CUCAAACUUUAGGUCCUCCUGCCUCUGCCAUAGAUAUGCAAAUGCAAUAGCUUUGCAAAACUUCUUGAAAGGAAAAAAAUUAAGCUAAUAACAACUUCCCUCACCCAGAUGAGAAAAGACAAAUCUUGAUUUCCUUUCACUAAAAUUUUCUGUACUGGAUCAGAGGCAA